rnacentral:rRNA from 1 species
GACGAACGCUGGCGGCGUGCUUAACACAUGCAAGUCGAACGGUGAAGCUCCAGCUUGCUGGAGUGGAUCAGUGGCGAACGGGUGAGUAACACGUGAGCAACCUGCCCCUGACUCUGGAAUAAGCGCUGGAAACGGCGUCUAAUACUGGAUACGAGAAGGGUCCGCAUGGGCACUUUCUGGAAAGUUUUUCGGUUGGGGAUGGGCUCGCGGCCUAUCAGCUUGUUGGUGAGGUAAUGGCUCACCAAGGCGACGACGGGUAGCCGGCCUGAGGGGGCGACCGGCCCCCACGGGACUGGAACCCCGCCCGACACCCUCCGGGGGGACGCGGUGGGGAAAAUUGCAACAGGGGGCAAAGCCGGAUUCAGCAGCCCCGGGGUGGGGAUUACGGCCUUCGGGUUGAAAACCCCUUUCCGCAGGGAAAAAGGAAAAGGGACCGGACCCGCCAAAGAAGCCCCGGCGAACGACG